GUUGAUUAAAUCGAGCGUGUCUUCAUUGACCGCUCACCCUUCUCACCAUCCACAUACACUGUGCACUGUUUAGCCUGAGCCGGUUUUCCGGUCCAGGUUAUCACUUCAUACAACUCUGUCUUAUGAAUGUAAACGUUUUAAUAACAUAAU
rnacentral:misc_RNA from 1 species